AUGUCGUUGGCAUCUCCUUCCCUCCUCUCUUCCCCGCUCCCCUCCCGCGGCGCCCUCGUCUUCAAGAAGCCGUCUGCUUCGUCGCUCGCAGUCUCAACGGCGAAGCGUGGAGUCCGGGUGGUCGCAGAGGCCGCGGCGGUAUCGUCCCCCGCAUCGUCGGUGUCGGCACAGCGGACCCAGCCGUCGGCAGCCGAGGUGGCGCGGACGGUGGUUGAGCUCGCGCCUUCCGGGACGCUGUCCGUCGUGGGCGCCGACGGUUGGCCGCUCGGUGUCGGCGCUCGUUUUGUCGCCGACGCCGCUGGCGCGCCCGCGCUCUGCCUAGCCACAGCGGGAGUGACCGUGCCUGAUGCGCGGGCAAGUUUUCACGUUGAGUUUCGGCAAAGUGGAGCCAGGACACCACAAUGUACUUUUCUUGGUGCCUUGACUAAACCUAGUGAUAAAUAUGAGCUGAAGAAGCUGUCUACUAGGUGGGAAACCAAAUUUGGGGAGGAGAUAGAUGAAGAUCGUUUGUAUCUAAUAUCUGUAGAGCGGAUCUUGCACAUGGAAGACUUCAACGAGGGCCGUGUGUGGGUAGUCCCGUCAGAAUACAGUGAUGCAGAACCAGAUCCGCUUCGAAACUUUGCUGAAAGCGUUGUUGAGGAAAUGAACAGUGAACAUUCUGAAGAUGUUCAUAGGAUAUACAAUAUUUAUGCCGAAUCAGAUUUUCAGGCAUUGGAUGUGAAGAUGAUUUGGGUAGACAGACUUGGUUUUGACUUGCACGUUCAUUCUGAGGAAGGCAUCUUCGCUGUUCGGAUACCUUUCUCAAGGCAGGUCUCUGACCAGAAGGCGGUGAAAUCGUCAUUCAACAUGAUGGCUCAUCAUGCAUGGGAGGUGGACAAGAGUUAUGCCACCCCAGAGUUUGAGAAGGUACAAUUCUUGAAGAAGGUCACAUAG
rnacentral:rRNA from 1 species